GACGAACGCUGGCGGCGUGCUUAACACAUGCAAGUCGAACGGAAAGGCCCUGCUUUUGUGGGGUGCUCGAGUGGCGAACGGGUGAGUAACACGUGUGUAACCUGCCCUUGACUUUGGGAUAACUUCAGGAAACUGGGGCUCAUACCGGAUAGGCGCUCCUGCUGCAUGGUGGGGGUUGGAAAGUUUCGGCGGUUGGGGAUGGACUCGCGGCUUAUCAGCUUGUUGGUGGGGUAGUGGCUUACCAAGGCUUUGACGGGUAGCCGGCCUGAGAGGGUGACCGGCCACAUUGGGACUGAGAUACGGCCCAGACUCCUACGGGAGGCAGCAGUGGGGAAUAUUGCACAAUGGGCGGAAGCCUGAUGCAGCAACGCCGCGUGCGGGAUGACGGCCUUCGGGUUGUAAACCGCUUUCGCCUGUGACGAAGCGUGAGUGACGGUAAUGGGUAAAGAAGCACCGGCUAACUACGUG
rnacentral:rRNA from 1 species